rnacentral:rRNA from 1 species
UACGUAGGGUGCGAGCGUUUAAUCGGAAUACUGGGCGUAAAGCGUGCGCAGGCGGUUGGCAAAGUCAGCUGUGAAAGCCCCGGGCUUAACCUGGGAACUGCAUUUGUGACUGCAUGGCUAGAGUUUGGCAGAGGGGGGUAGAAUUCCACGUGUAGCAGUGAAAUGCGUAGAUAUGUGGAGGAACACCGAUGGCGAAGGGCAGCCCCCUGGGUCAAGCUGACGCUCAUGCACGAA